rnacentral:rRNA from 1 species
UUAAAUGAAAGUUGACUUAUGUGGGAUAGCUUGGCACUUAGAAGCGAAGAAGGGCGUAGUAACUGACGAUAUGCUUUGGGGAACAAGAAACAAGUUUUUAUCCAAAGAUCCCCGAAUAGGGUAACCUAAUAAACAUUUAUCAAUAAUUUAGAUUUUUGUAGGCAACUCGGUGAACUGAAACAUCUCAGUAGCCGAAGGAAAAGAAAGCAAAAGCGAUUUUCUUAUUAGUGGCGAGCUAAACGAAAACAGCCUAAACCGUUUUCGGUGUAGUGGGAGUACUUUUGUAUCAAAUUGUUUAACCUGAAAUUGUUGAAUGCAAUAUCAUAGAAGGUUGGAAAUCCUGUAAGGUUUUGUAAAUUUGUAAUAGUAUUAUCCCGAGUAGCAUAGAGCACGUGUAAUUCUGUGUGAAUCAGCGAGGACCACCUCGUAAGGCUAAAUAUUCCUAAGUGACCGAUAGUGAACUAGUACCGUGAGGGAAAGCUGAAAAGAACACUGAAAAGUGAGUGAAAUAGACCUUGAAAGCAUAUGUUUACAAGCAGUGGGAGAUCUAUAUAAAGAUUGACCGCGUGCCUGUUGAAGAAUGAGCCGGCGACUUAUAGGCAGUGGCUUGGUUAAGGUUUUUAUUCUGGAGCCAUAGUGAAAGCGUGCUUUAAUAGAGCAAUUUCAGUCACUGUUUAUAGACCCGAACCCGGGUGAUCUAAUCAUGACCAGGAUGAAGCUUGGGUAAUACUAAGUUGAAGACCGAACCCACCAAUGUUGAAAAAUUGGGGGAUGAGUUGUGAUUAGGGGAGAAAUUCCAAUCGAACUCGGAGCUAGCUGGAUCUCUUCGAAAUGCGUUGAGGCGCAGCAGUUGAUUAUGAUACGUUUAGGGGUAAAGCACUGUUUCGACAAGGGCUAUGAUGAGUAGUACUAAGUUGUAGCAAACUCUGAAUACUAAACUAAAUUUCAAUUAACUAGUGAGACAGUGGGGGAUAAGCUUCAUUGUCAAGAGGGAAACAGCCCAGAUCACCACUUAAGGCCCCUAAGUAACUACUAAGUGACAAAGGAUGUAUUAGUACAUAGACAACCAGGAGGUUGACUUAGAAGCAGUAACCCUUUAAAAAGUGCGUAAUAGCUUACUGGUCAAGUGCUUUUGCGCCGAAAAUGAAUGGGACUAAGUAGUUUGCCGAAAGUGUGAGAUAAUAUCGGUAGAAGAGCGUUUUGUAUUAGUUAGAAGCAGUAGUGAAAACAGCUGUGGACUAUUCAGAAGUGAGAAUGUUGGCUUAAGUAACGAAAACAUUGGUUGAAAUCCAAUGCCCCGAAAACCUAAGGAUUCCUUCGCAAGGUUCGUCCACGAAGGGUUAGUCAGGACCUAAAGCGAGGUUUAACAGCGUAGUUGAUGGAUAACAGGUUAAUAUUCCUGUACUAUUUUUAAUUUAAUUAUGAGUGACAAAAAAGGCUAUACCAUCCAAAGACUGGUUGUUUUGGUUUAAUUUUACAAGGCUAGGAGAAGCAUUACAAAAAAUGUUUUGAGCUAAGUUCAGAGUACGAGAGAUAUUACGGUAUCAAAAGUGGUUCAUGUCAUGUUUUCAAGAAAAACUCUAGUAAUAUACAAUUAAAAAUACCUGUACCUUAAAUUGACACAGAUAGGAAAGUAGAGAAUACUAAGGGGCGCGAGAUAACUCUUUCUAAGGAACUCGGCAAAAUAACUCUGUAACUUCGGGAGAAAGAGUGCCUCUGCAAAGAGGUCGCAGUGAUCAGGUCCAAGCGACUGUUUAUCAAAAACACAGGUCUCCGCUAAGUUGAAAAACUAUGUAUGGGGGCUGACGCCUGCCCAGUGCCAGAAGGUUAAAGAAAUUGGUUAGCUAACGCGAAGCUGGUGACUGAAGCCCUGGUGAACGGCAGCCGUAACUAUAACGGUUCGAAGGUAGCGAAAUUCCUUGUCGGGUAAGUUCCGACCCGCACGAAAGGCGUAACGAUUUGGAUACUGUCUCAGAAAGAGACUCGGUGAAAUAGAAUUGACUGUGAAGAUGCGGUCUACUUGCACUUGGACAGAAAGACCCUAUGAAGCUUUACUGUAACUUGAGAUUGGUUUUGGGCUUUUUUUGCGCAGUAUAGGUGGGAGGCUUUGAACUUAUUUUUCGGAAGAAAGUGAGCCACAAUGUGAGAUACCACUCUGAAAAAGUUAAAAAUCUAAUAGUAUUUUAUCAAAAUACUUGACAGUUUCAGGCGGGCAGUUUUACUGGGGCGGUAGCCUCCUAAAAGGUAACGGAGGCGUACAAAGGUUUUCUCAGUCUGGACGGAAAUUAGUUGCAGCGUGUAAAGAUAAAAGUAAGCUUGACUGUGAGACUCAAAAGUCGAGCAGAGACUAAAGUCGGUCUUAGUGAUCCGACGGUGCUGAGUGGAAAGGCCGUCGCAUAACUGAUAAAAGUUACUCUAGGGAUAACAGGCUGAUCUCCCCCAAGAGUUCACAUCGACGGGGAGGUUUGGCACCUCGAUGUCGGCUCAUCGCAACCUGGGGCGGUAGUACGUCCCAAGGGUUGGGCUGUUCGCCCAUUAAAGCGGUACGUGAGCUGGGUUCAGAACGUCGAGAGACAGUUCGGUCCAUAUCCGGUGUGAGUGUUAGAGUAUUGAAAGGAGCUUUCCUUAGUACGAGAGGACCGGGAAGGAUACACCACUGAUGUACCAGUUUUUGUGCCAACAGAAUACGCUGGGUAGUUAAGUGUAGAGUGGAUAACUGCUGAAAGCAUAUAAGUAGGAAGCCCACCUUAAGAUGAGUACUCUUUUUUAAGGUCACGACUAGACUAGUCGUUAGAUAGGUAUUAGGUGUACGGUUAGUAAUAACUUUAGCCGAGAUAUACUAACAGACCGAACGUUUUAUCCUA